AGGGGAUGGCGCCCUAUGAAGAUGAAAUAAGAUGUCGACUAGGGGAUAGUGCCCUAUGAAGACGAGAUAAGAUGUCCACUAGGGGAUGGCGCCCUAUGAAGACGAGUAAGAUGUCAACUAGGGGAUGACACCCUAUGAAGACAAAAUAAGAUGUCGACUAGGGGAUAGUGCCCUAUGAAUACGAGAUAAGAUGUCAACUAGGAGAUGGCGCCAUAUGAAGACGAGUAAGAUGUCAACUAGGGGAUGGUGCCCUAUGAAGACGAAUAAGAUGUCAACUAGGGGAUGGCGCCCUAUGAAGACGAAAUAAGAUGUCGACUAGGGGAUAGUGCCCUAUGAAGACGAGAUAAGAUGUCCACUAGGGG
rnacentral:lncRNA from 1 species